UAAAAAAAUUCUAUAAAUAUAGGGUUCCCGAAUUUAGAAGGGCUAAAUUUGUAUAAGUGUUAUUGUUGCAUAAAUAUUCAAAAUAUAAAUUUAGUAAUGAAACGUUAUUCGUUUCUAAAUAUAUCUGGUUUUUUAAGAAAUAAAUUUAAUUUACUUGACUAGGAUUAAGGUUUUAAUUUAUAAAUUACUUGAUAGAGUUAGGGUAUAUAUUUGGGGAUGAGCUCGAAUAUAAAUUAUUAAAAAUGAUGUAUUUUUUCUUUGAUUUAUAGGAUUAGAAGUUUCCAUUAUUAAAAGAGUGUUAUAACUAAUUUGUUAUAAAAAAUUAUUUAUAUUUAUUUUAAUUUUUUUAUUAAAAUUUAUUUGUGAAUUUGAUUAAUUUAGUAAUAAUGAUAGAAUUAGUAUAGGUUUCUGUAUUUUUAAUAAUAAUUUUUAGGUUAGUCAAAGGAACUCGGCAAAAUAUUUUUCACCUGUUUAUUAAAAACAUGGCCUUUUGUUUAAAAUUUAAGGUCUAUCCUGCCCACUGAGUAGUUAAAUGGCUGCGGUAAUCU
rnacentral:rRNA from 1 species